UACGUAGGGCGCAAGCGUUGUCCGGAAUUAUUGGGCGUAAAGAGCUCGUAGGCGGCCAGUUGCGUCUGCUGUGAAAUCCCGGGGCUCAACCCCGGGCGUGCAGUGGAUACGGGCUGGCUAGAGGCAGGCAGGGGAGAACGGAAUUCCCGGGUGUAGCGGUGAAAUGCGCAGAUAUCGGGAGGAACACCGGUGGCGAAGGCGGUUCUCUGGGCCUGUACUGACGCUGAGGAGCGAAAGCGUGGGGAGCGAACAGG
rnacentral:rRNA from 1 species